UAUUGUCAUUGUUCCCUUCAAAAUGACUCCAAAUCGAAUUGAAGUUCAUCAAUUACUAUAGCCAUCGCAAAAUUGUAGUGGCAUCAAGUGUUUGUCAAAUCAUAGUAGAAACUCAUGCUGCUUUGUUCAAUCAAAGUUGUGGUUUUUUGAUAAUUUUCAUUAUGCUUCCCAAAGGACAUAAGGAUUUUGCUGCUGUUGCUGAUAUCUGACCCUCCACCUCUUCUUUUGACGAGUUUCUGUCCGCCCUCUCACAGUUACAGUUCUAUCUGUUGCAGCUUGUGGGCAGCAAUAGUUGUCGAUUUAUGCCAUCUGGAGCCGAUGAAGAGGGAGUUGUCCUAUCUAUAAAAGCACCUGGGCAAUACUGUAUCUUUCUUGGGAGACUCCUGUAAGAUAAAGUGAAAGACUCCCGUAUCUAAAUUUUCUUUUGUGUUAUCUAUUAUGCAUUGUAGCUGCUAUAGGCCUAUCUUGCAUAUGUUAUGAUAGAAUUAGUUAUAUUUCAUUUAGAAAAUGGGGAGCACCAAAAAAAGAAGGCAAAGGAAGCCUAAGAUAGAGAAGGACCCUAAAAUCCUUAAUCAUUUGUCCUUCAAAGAACAAGGCUUGCCACCAACAAGCCAUCGAGGAGACGAAUGAGAAGAAUGUCACUCGAAAGGAGAAGAUUUUGGAGCUUCUUAAGAAAAACAGAGAUUUGUUCUUUAAUGAGGUAUUUUUAGGGAGUGAAAUUUAAGUGUUUCAGGCACUAUCAUUUUACUGUAUAUCAUUAUGUAUUACCUCUUAAUUGGGGUAUUAUUUUGACGAACUAUGAAAGAAUUCUGUAAUGGUUUAUAGGAUGAGUUUACUGUAUUGAUUGAAACUGCAUGGACGUUGAGAUGAGGCAUCUGCGUGGCAUUGAUGAUGAAAAUGCUCCUACUAGGGAUACAAUGGUUGCUGCUUUAGUAGAAG